UGGGGAAUUUUGGACAAUGGGCGAAAGCCUGAUCCAGCAAUGCCGCGUGUGUGAAGAAGGCCUUCGGGUUGUAAAGCACUUUUGUCCGGAAAGAAAUCCCUUGGGAUAAUACCUCGGGGGGAUGACGGUACCGGAAGAAUAAGCACCGGCUAACUACGUGCCAGCAGCCGCGGUAAUACGUAGGGUGCAAGCGUUAAUCGGAAUUACUGGGCGUAAAGCGUGCGCAGGCGGUUUUGUAAGACGGAUGUGAAAUCCCCGGGCUUAACCUGGGAACUGCAUUCGUGACUGCAAGGCUAGAGUAUGGCAGAGGGGGGUAGAAUUCCACGUGUAGCAGUGAAAUGCGUAGAGAUGUGGAGGAAUACCGAUGGCGAAGGCAGCCCCCUGGGCCAAUACUGACGCUCAUGCACGAAAGCGUGGGGAGCAAACA
rnacentral:rRNA from 1 species